UCGAGACCGAAUAUCGAGCGAUUCAGAGAACUUGUGAAAUAAACGGCGACGAUCGUUGCUGUGAAACAGCCAUCUUAUUCGUCCCACCCCCUCCUUCGGAGGGGUCCGCGAUGAUGGAUGGUUGAAACCCCAAACCGGCGCAAAUUCGCGCCAAGGGACUAUUGAAAAGCACGAGCCCUUACAUCGGGGCUCUGUGGUGUGGAGCGGUCUGUGUACCGCACGUAUUGACACGACUCUCGGCAAUGGAUAUCUCGGCUCUCGCAUCGAUGAAGAGCGCAGCGAAAUGCGAUACGUGGUGCGAAUUGCAGAAUCCCGCGAACCAUCGAGUCUUUGAACGCAAGUUGCGCCCGAGGCCAACCGGCCGAGGGCACGUCCGCCUGGGCGUCAAGCGUUGCGUCGCUCCGCGUCGAGUCCCAUCCCACGAGUGGGGGUGGCGACGAAGGCUCGGAUGUGUAGAGUGGCCCUUCGUGCCCAUCGGUGCGGCGGGUUGAAGAGCGGGUUAUCGUCUCGAUGGCCACGAACAACGAGGGGUGGAUGAAAGCUACAGCAAGGCCUGCGUUGUCUCGUGAUGGCCCGAGAGAAGAUCAUACCCUUAGUGUGAUCCCAUCCAUGCACCGACCCACAUGCGGCUGCU
rnacentral:misc_RNA from 1 species